rnacentral:ncRNA from 1 species
GCACUCGUGAGGGUGUAGCUGAAGGAAGUGUGUAUCAAAACCUUGGCUCGACGAACAGAAACCUGAUACCACGGCUCAACAAGUGGAUGAGAUGCCCACACAAAUCAAAGUUCAAAAACUUAUUGGGUAAAUCAGGAUACUAAAAGAGGAAAGCUAGUUGU